rnacentral:rRNA from 1 species
UAGGGAAUCUUCGGCAAUGGGGGGAACCCUGACCGAGCAACGCCGCGUGAGUGAAGAAGGUUUUCGGAUCGUAAAGCCCUGUUGUUAAGGAAGAACGAGUGUGAGAAUGGAAAGUUCAUGCUGUGACGGUACUUAACCAGAAAGGGACGGCUAACUACGUGCCAGCAGCCGCGGUAAUACGUAGGUCCCGAGCGUUGUCCGGAUUUAUUGGGCGUAAAGCGAGCGCAGGCGGUUAGAAAAGUCUGAAGUGAAAGGCAGUGGCUCAACCAUUGUAGGCUUUGGAAACUGUUUAACUUGAGUGCAGAAGGGGAGAGUGGAAUUCCAUGUGUAGCGGUGAAAUGCGUAGAUAUAUGGAGGAACACCGGUGGCGAAAGCGGCUCUCUGGUCUGUACCUGACGCUGAGGCUCGAAAGCGUGGGGAGCGAACAGG